UAUUGUCUAUGUUUUUUUCUUUACUUUGUUGGCUUUUGUCGUUGUUGUUUAUUUUUAUAUCUUGCUUUGGCAAUGUAAACACAUUUUUCCCAUGCCUUUAAAGCCACUUUGGAGAGAGAGGGAGAAAGAGACAAAGAAUCAAGUCACUUCUGGGAAAAUUGUCCAGUGUCCCCUGAAGACAUAUGAUCAUAUUAUUUGGAAGAAAGAUUGAGUUUCUUCCUGACUGUGUCCUUCGAGUCAAACCUGAAGGUGGCGAAGCAGACGUCUGAAAACAACAAGAUCUUUGGCUUGAACCUCUUGGUGGCUUUCAUCAGCCAGUUCUUCAAAGAGGCCAUGGAUGAAGGUCA
rnacentral:lncRNA from 13 species